rnacentral:misc_RNA from 1 species
ACAAUUCUCUGUUUGGAGUCUGAUAAAUGCCAAGUUAUAUCAAGAUAUAACAUCCCAUAUUUUUCCUCAAUUUCAAAAUCAUUAGCCAUUCUUUGCUUUUUCGGUUAUCCCAAGUUAUUUUGUAAAUCAGAGGAGGACAGAAUUUAUGAAUUUACUAAACAAAUAUGUAGUAGAACACAUCAAGCUAGCAUUCUUAAUGGG